ACAGGGUGACAGCCCCGUACACAAAAAUGCACAUGCUGUGAGCUCGAUGAGUAGGGCGGGACACGUGGUAUCCUGUCUGAAUAUGGGGGGACCAUCCUCCAAGGCUAAAUACUCCUGACUGACCGAUAGUGAACCAGUACCGUGAGGGAAAGGCGAAAAGAACCCCGGCGAGGGGAGUGAAAAAGAACCUGAAACCGUGUACGUACAAGCAGUGGGAGCACGCUUCGGCGUGUGACUGCGUACCUUUUGUAUAAUGGGUCAGCGACUUAUAUUCUGUAGCAAGGUUAACCGAAUAGGGGAGCCGAAGGGAAACCGAGUCUUAACUGGGCGUUAAGUUGCAGGGUAUAGACCCGAAACCCGGUGAUCUAGCCAUGGGCAGGUUGAAGGUUGGGUAACACUAACUGGAGGACCGAACCGACUAAUGUUGAAAAAUUAGCGGAUGACUUGUGGCUGGGGGUGAAAGGCCAAUCAAACCGGGAGAUAGCUGGUUCUCCCCGAAAGCUAUUUAGGUAGCGCCUCGUGAAUUCAUCUCCGGGGGUAGAGCACUGUUUCGGCAAGGGGGUCAUCCCGACUUACCAACCCGAUGCAAACUGCGAAUACCGGAGAAUGUUAUCACGGGAGACACACGGCGGGUGCUAACGUCCGUCGUGAAGAGGGAAACAACCCAGACCGCCAGCUAAGGUCCCAAAGUCAUGGUUAAGUGGGAAACGAUGUGGGAAGGCCCAGACAGCCAGGAUGUUGGCUUAGAAGCAGCCAUCAUUUAAAGAAAGCGUAAUAGCUCACUGGUCGAGUCGGCCUGCGCGGAAGAUGUAACGGGGCUAAACCAUGCACCGAAGCUGCGGCAGCGACGCUGAUGCGUUGUUGGGUAGGGGAGCGUUCUGUAAGCCUGCGAAGGUGUGCUGUGAGGCAUGCUGGAGGUAUCAGAAGUGCGAAUGCUGACAUAAGUAACGAUAAAGCGGGUGAAAAGCCCGCUCGCCGGAAGACCAAGGGUUCCUGUCCAACGUUAAUCGGGGCAGGGUGAGUCGACCCCUAAGGCGAGGCCGAAAGGCGUAGUCGAUGGGAAACAGGUUAAUAUUCCUGUACUUGGUGUUACUGCGAAGGGGGGACGGAGAAGGCUAUGUUGGCCGGGCGACGGUUGUCCCGGUUUAAGCGUGUAGGCUGGUUUUCCAGGCAAAUCCGGAAAAUCAAGGCUGAGGCGUGAUGACGAGGCACUACGGUGCUGAAGCAACAAAUGCCCUGCUUCCAGGAAAAGCCUCUAAGCAUCAGGUAACAUCAAAUCGUACCCCAAACCGACACAGGUGGUCAGGUAGAGAAUACCAAGGCGCUUGAGAGAACUCGGGUGAAGGAACUAGGCAAAAUGGUGCCGUAACUUCGGGAGAAGGCACGCUGAUAUGUAGGUGAGGUCCCUCGCGGAUGGAGCUGAAAUCAGUCGAAGAUACCAGCUGGCUGCAACUGUUUAUUAAAAACACAGCACUGUGCAAACACGAAAGUGGACGUAUACGGUGUGACGCCUGCCCGGUGCCGGAAGGUUAAUUGAUGGGGUCAGCGCAAGCGAAGCUCUUGAUCGAAGCCCCGGUAAACGGCGGCCGUAACUAUAACGGUCCUAAGGUAGCGAAAUUCCUUGUCGGGUAAGUUCCGACCUGCACGAAUGGCGUAAUGAUGGCCAGGCUGUCUCCACCCGAGACUCAGUGAAAUUGAACUCGCUGUGAAGAUGCAGUGUACCCGCGGCAAGACGGAAAGACCCCGUGAACCUUUACUAUAGCUUGACACUGAACAUUGAGCCUUGAUGUGUAGGAUAGGUGGGAGGCUUUGAAGUGUGGACGCCAGUCUGCAUGGAGCCGACCUUGAAAUACCACCCUUUAAUGUUUGAUGUUCUAACGUUGACCCGUAAUCCGGGUUGCGGACAGUGUCUGGUGGGUAGUUUGACUGGGGCGGUCUCCUCCUAAAGAGUAACGGAGGAGCACGAAGGUUGGCUAAUCCUGGUCGGACAUCAGGAGGUUAGUGCAAUGGCAUAAGCCAGCUUGACUGCGAGCGUGACGGCGCGAGCAGGUGCGAAAGCAGGUCAUAGUGAUCCGGUGGUUCUGAAUGGAAGGGCCAUCGCUCAACGGAUAAAAGGUACUCCGGGGAUAACAGGCUGAUACCGCCCAAGAGUUCAUAUCGACGGCGGUGUUUGGCACCUCGAUGUCGGCUCAUCACAUCCUGGGGCUGAAGUAGGUCCCAAGGGUAUGGCUGUUCGCCAUUUAAAGUGGUACGCGAGCUGGGUUUAGAACGUCGUGAGACAGUUCGGUCCCUAUCUGCCGUGGGCGCUGGAGAACUGAGGGGGGCUGCUCCUAGUACGAGAGGACCGGAGUGGACGCAUCACUGGUGUUCGGGUUGUCAUGCCAAUGGCACUGCCCGGUAGCUAAAUGCGGAAGAGAUAAGUGCUGAAAGCAUCUAAGCACGAAACUUGCCCCGAGAUGAGUUCUCCCUGACCCUUUAAGGGUCCUGAAGGAACGUUGAAGACGACGACGUUGAUAGGCCGGGUGUGUAAGCGCAGCGAUGCGUUGAGCUAACCGGUACUAAUGAACCGUGAG
rnacentral:rRNA from 1 species